UCAUCUUCUUGUGAAAACCUAGGGUUCCAUCCAAUGAAUCCCUGUAAUGAAACCAAACCAAGGGUUUAUCAAAUCCAUCGAUUCAAUCUCAUCAAAAAAGAGGAAUUUCUACUCGUUAAAUGAUCAAACAACAAGAUGAUCUUCUUCAAGAUCUGAUUAAAUAAUAAGAUCAGAGGCCGAAGAAGACAUUGAAAAAUUGUUGAUGAAGAGGAAGAAUGUCAAAGUGUUGGUUUUCAGAGCCUUUUGGAAGAGUAAAGGUGAGAUUGAGAAGAAGAUGGGGAAGUUGAUGGGAAUUAGGGGUUUUGGAAGGUCAGUUUCAGCUAGUGAGUGCUUCAAUUUCAUUUUAUUUUUCUAAGGGAACUUGAUGAUAAUGGUUUGAUUUUUAAGCAAAUUAGGGGGUUUAUACUAAUAUGAAUUGUAGCACUUUUGUGAUCUUGGGGUAUUUCAAUGACAAUGUGGGAAUUUGUUUAGUUUGCUUGCUGAAAUUUAACAUAGAAGACAAGUCAUGGAGUAGAACCAGUAAGCAGUUUGGAUGAAAUGGGUAUUAAAGAUGAAUGACUAUGUGGGAUUUAUGAAUAUGGACAUCUGAUAUUCAACAAGGGAGAGAUGUGAUUGCUCAAGCUCAACCUGGUACUGGGAAAACUUAUGUUUAAAUCGUUGAAACUUCUAAUUCAAAGUUUCAAGCUUUGAUUUUGUAACCAAAAAGUGAAUUAUCAACACAAACUGAGAAAGUUAUAUGAAUAUUCAAGCUCAUGCUUGUAUUGGAGGUCAAAGUGUUGGUGAAGAUGCAAGUAAAUGAGAGAAUGGAGUUCAUGUUGUAUCCGGUACACCUGGGAAAGUUUGAGAUAUGAUUAAGAAAAGAUCGUUACGCACUAUCAAAUUAUUAACACUUGAUGAGAUGUUGAGUAGAGGUUUUAAAGAUCAAAUCUAUGACGUUUACAGAUAUCUUCCAACAAAACUUCAGUACUGGAGAUCACUAGCAAGUUCAUGACAGAACCUGUGAGGAUCCUUGUAAAACGUGAUGAAUUGACCUUGGAGGGUGUCAAACAUUUUUGUGUUGCUGUUGAAAAAGAAGAAUGAAAAUUUGAUACUUCAUGCGAUCUUUAUGAUACUCUGACGACCACUCAAGCUGUUAUUUUCUGUAACACGAAGAGGAAGGUUGAUUGGUUAACUGAGAAGAUGUGCCGCUAUAACUACAGUCUCCUCAAUGUUUGAGACAUGCCUCAGAUGGAGCAAAAUGCAAUCAUGAAAGAGUUCAGAUCCGUGGACACCCAUGUUCUGAUAACAACUGAUGUAUGGGGUCGUGGAAUUGAUGUUCAACAGGCGAGUCUUUCAGCUUGGAUUUGAGGGUGUUGCAAUAAACUUGUCGCCAAGUGAUUAUUAAUGAUUCUUCGAGACAUAGAGCAGCACUACAGUACUCAAACACAUCAGAUGGCAAUGAACAUGGCUGAUCUAAUAUAGAUGGCCUAGAUGAUGCCAAGCAAGUAUUCUGGAUUGUUUUAGUUCUUCUGUAUUCUGGAUUGUGUUUUUUGCUUUUUUUUCUUUCAGAUGUAUAUUUCAAUGACAAUGUGAGAAUUUGUUUCGUUUGCUUAACUUA